GUGUCAGCCGCCGCGGUAAUACGGAGGGUGCGAGCGUUAAUCGGAAUUACUGGGCGUAAAGCGCGCGUAGGCGGUUUGGUAAGCGAGAUGUGAAAUCCCCGGGCUAAACCUGGGAACUGCAUUUCGAACUGCCAGGCUAGAGUAUGGUAGAGGGUAGUGGAAUUUCCUGUGUAGCGGUGAAAUGCGUAGAUAUAGGAAGGAACACCAGUGGCGAAGGCGGCUACCUGGACCAAUACUGACGCUGAGGUGAGAAGGCGUGGGGAGCAAACAGGAUGAGAUACCCUGGUAGUCCACGCCGUAAACGAUGUCAACUAGCCGUUGGGACUCUUGAAGUCUUAGUGGCGCAGCUAACGCACUAAGUUGACCGCCUGGGGAGUACGGCCGCAAGGUUAAAACUUAAAUGAAUUGGCGGGG
rnacentral:rRNA from 1 species